CAGCAGCCGCGGGAAUACGGAGGGUGCAAGCGUUAAUCGGAAUUACUGGGCGUAAAGCGUGCGUAGGUGGUGGUUUAAGUCCGUUGUGAAAGCCCUGGGCUCAACCUGGGAAUUGCAGUGGAUACUGGGUCACUAGAGUGUGGUAGAGGAUAGUGGAAUUUCCGGUGUAGCAGUGAAAUGCGUAGAGAUCGGAAGGAACAUCUGUGGCGAAGGCGACUAUCUGGGCCAACACUGACACUGAGGCACGAAAGCGUGGGGAGCAAACAGGAUUAGAUACCCCAGUAGUCCCUGUCUCUUAUAA
rnacentral:rRNA from 1 species